rnacentral:sRNA from 1 species
CUCUCUCUUCUCUUUUU